UUCUCUCAUCUUCUUUUCGUUUCUUUCUCUCUCUCUCUCUCUAAACUCUAUGGUUGGCCGGUUGAUGGUUGAAGAAGGAAGGAUUUUGGAGCAGGGAAAAGCUUGGUAGAGCUGAAUUUCAAGUAGGAGUCUAAAGGAGUAAAGCAUGUGUUGGAAGAGUUAGUGGCAGCCUGGGUGCUUUCGGGCUUGUAGAAGCUGCCGAGCAGGAAAUUGGGUAUUGGAGCAGAGAGCAAUCUGAUAGAACAACUAAACUAAGAAAUUCAAGGAGAAGCUGUUGGAGGACUGCCUUGUAGAGGUUUUGGGCACCUAGAUUGAGGGAGGAAUAGAGGGGGGCUCUUUGAUGUUUCCUGGGGGAGCUUCGAAUGUAAGAAAGAUUGGUGCUUUCCCGGAUUGGAGUAAUACUAGUACCCUAAAAAGGGUGGUGAACAAAGAAAGUGAUAAUGCUAAAAUUGUAGGGAGCUGAAAAGAAGACUUGGUGGAGCUUCUUGAGUAGUUCGAAUUUCAGAAAAUCUGGUGGAACCUUGAUGCUAGGAGGAGCUCGAAAUUGAGGGCUGCUGCUAUGGUGGAUUCUGGGCGCCCAGAUCGGACAGGAACCGAUUGGAGCUUCAGCUGAGGAAGGGUUGCAACCUGAAGUAGCUGUCUUGAGAAGUUUUGGGCGCCCGAAUUGUAGAAGGGGACUGAAGAGUGCGUCGAAUUGGGGGCUGUGAAGAAGAAACAAGUGCCGAAUUUCAGCAUAAGCAGAAUUUCAGCAUACACUUUCUGCUAUUGGAGCUGAAAAAGAAUCCGGUAGAGCUUUGAGCUCAGUGGCUGCAAAGAGGGAAAUAGUGGUGCAGAUUUCAACAAUGGAAGUAGUUUCUGUUGGAGCCGAGAACAAACUAAUUGAGCCGCACAUUAAGGUUAGACAUGUUCGGAGAUACAAAUUGACAUUCCGACAGAUUUGUGGCGCACUACUUACGGUAGAAGCCGUUCUAGCUCUAUUUACACCAAGUCGCGAGAGCUCGUUGUUGAUACGGUUCGAGACGUUGAUUCCAGUUUGUUGGCAUCUCUACAGACCUAGUAGGUGAAUCGGCGAGGUCGGCAGUCGAACCCACUAGGAACUUUCAGUAGUUCUCACUCCACCAACCAUACAGGUUCCAGCUCGUGCGGGGUGAUCGAGGAUCGUGACAGGGACAGCGCGCUAUAGAUAGCGACAUUCAUUGAGUAUAGUUGUACCUUAUUUAUCUCAUCUGUUUAUAGUUGAUGAAAGUAAAUGUAAAUUAUUCAUUUGAGAGAUGGCAAUAUAAUAAUUAUGUAAGUUUUGUAUUUGAUUUAAAGUAAUCAAGAUACAAUGUGCGAAUACUUUA